rnacentral:lncRNA from 1 species
CAGGCAAGCAACGAAGACCAGAUGAAAUGCUGCUUGAAGGGCUGGCAUAUCUAGAAUUGGUGGUGGAAAUAUCUUUGCUUGAAAGUUUGCUCAAGAAACACUAUGCAUAUUUGACAUCAUAAGGAAAGAACUGAGCAGGACCAUACAUCCAGCUUACAUUGCAAUUACUGCAGAGGAAAAGAGAUGGAGAAGUUAAAAUGAAACAUUUCAAGGAUGAAUGGGCACUGAAAAUUGGCAAAGUGGCAGAAAAGUCCAAGUAUGAAGAAUGAAAAAGUAAAUUUAUGGAGAAAAAAGAGUUUGGAAAACAGGAAAAAAAAAAAAAGAAGAUAUUUUGCAGAAACAUCUGUUUGCUGUUGCUAAAAAUUUUAGCAUUUAAAUGUUCUCAUUUGGGCUCUGAAGUUAGCACUUCCUUGAAGUAGUUCACACCUUUCCUAUUGCUCCUGUUCAGCUACAGAUCAUUUUAUGCAAGGCUGAUUUUAACAAGAAAAUGGUGCAUUAAUUUA